rnacentral:lncRNA from 1 species
UAUAUACUGUAACAAUUUCUUGCUGUGGAUGAUAUUCAAUUGGUUUGCAUGAGUUGGGAACACGUCAAGAGGGGGAGACGGAUUAUAUAUAGAUAGUCUAACGGUAUUGGAAUUAACUAAUUUAAAAAUUGAAUUGAAUUCAAACUAACUGGUGGUGUUUAUCGACUACGAGGCCUUACCAGACAGUCAAGGUACAGUUUAAAACCACCAGUUAGCUGGAAUUCACGUUUGCGAAUAGGUUCUAACAUG